GUGAGGAAUUUUGCGCAAUGGGGGCAACCCUGACGCAGCGACGCCGCGUGGAGGACGAAGUCUUUCGGGAUGUAAACUCCUGUCAGUGGGGACGAUAAUGACGGUACCCACAGAGGAAGCACCGGCUAACUUCGUGCCAGCAGCCGCGGUAAUACGGAGGGUGCAAGCGUUAUCCGGAAUCACUGGGUUUAAAGGGUACGUAGGCGGUUAAUUAAGUCAGUAGUGAAAGACUGUCGCUCAACGACGGAUGUGCUAUUGAUACUGGUUAACUUGAAUCAGGUUAGAGUUGGCGGAAUGGGUCAUGUAGCGGUGAAAUGCUUAGAUAUGACUUGGAACACCGAUAGCGAAGGCAGCUGACUGAGCCUUGAUUGACGCUGAGGUACGAAAGUGUGGGUAGCGAACAGGAUUAGAAACCCUUGUAGUCC
rnacentral:rRNA from 1 species